GAUGAACGCUGGCGGCGUGCCUAAUACAUGCAAGUCGAGCGAACGGACGAGAAGCUUGCUUCUCUGAUGUUAGCGGCGGACGGGUGAGUAACACGUGGAUAACCUACCUAUAAGACUGGGAUAACUUCGGAAAACCGGAGCUAAUACCGGAUGAUAUUUUGAACCGCAUGGUUCAAAAGUGAAAGACGGUCUUGCUGUCACUUAUAGAUGGAUCCGCGCUGCAUUAGCUAGUUGGUAAGGUAACGGCUUACCAAGGCAACGAUGCAUAGCCGACCUGAGAGGGUGAUCAGCCACACUGGAACUGAGACACGGUCCAGACUCCUACGGGAGGCAGCAGUAGGGAAUCUUCCGCAAUGGGCGAAAGCCUGACGGAGCAACGCCGCGUGAGUGAUGAAGGUCUUCGGAUCGUAAAACUCUGUUAUUAGGGAAGAACAUAUGUGUAAGUAACUGUGCACAUCUUGACGGUACCUAAUCAGAAAGCCACGGCUAACUACGUG
rnacentral:rRNA from 1 species